GGAAACGGCGACUAAUACCCCAUAUGCUGCGAUGCUGCAUGGCAUUGCAAUGAAAGAUUCAUCGGUGGCGGAUAGGCUCGCGGGACAUUAGCUAGACGGCGGGGCAACGGCCCACCGUGGCGACGAUGUCUAGGGGUUCUGAGAGGAAGACCCCCCACACUGGGACUGAGACACGGCCCAGACUCCUACGGGAGGCAGCAGUGAGGAAUAUUGGUCAAUGGGCGGAAGCCUGAACCAGCCAUGCCGCGUGAAGGACUAAGGCCCUACGGGUCGUAAACUUCUUUAGACGCAGAGCAAUAAGGUCCACGAGUGGACCGAUGAGAGUAUGCGUAGAAUAAGCAUCGGCUAACUCCGUGCCAGCAGCCGCGGUAAUACGGGGGAUGCGAGCGUUAUCCGGAUUCAUUGGGUUUAAAGGGUGCGUAGGCGGCCGAGUAAGUCAGCGGUGAAAGACCGGGGCUCAACCCUGGAAGUGCCGUUGAUACUGUUUGGCUGGAAUGAUCCCGCCGCGGGAGGAAUGAGUGGUGUAGCGGUGAAAUGCAUAGAUAUCACUCAGAACACCGAUUGCGAAGGCAUCUCGCGAGGGGUCAAUUGACGCUGAGGCACGAAAGCGUGGGGAUCGAACAGGAUUAGAUACCCUGGUAGUCCACGCGGU
rnacentral:rRNA from 1 species